GAAGCUUUUCAAGAACUACAAAAAAUGGUGCAAGUACCUGGACAGAAAAAGUAGCCUUUGGUUGCCAACCAUACAGCAGGAGGUGCAGCAACGCAAAUUACUUUAUAUGGGUCUGUAUCUUUUGAUAUGGGGGGAAGCUGCUAACUUGAGAUUCAUGCCAGAAUGCCUGUGCUAUNNNNNNNNAUCACAUGGCAUUUGAGUUGUAUGGCAUGCUAGCUGGGAAUGUGAGUCCAAUGACGGGGGAAAACAUCAAGCCUGCGUAUGGAGGUGAAGAAGAGGCAUUCUUGGAGAAAGUUGUUACUCCUAUCUAUGAUGUGAUUGCAAAGGAAGCUGAAAAGAGUAAAAAGGGAAGAUCAAAGCAUUCCCAAUGGAGAAACUAUGAUGAUUUAAAUGAAUACUUCUGGUCAGUUGAUUGCUUUCGGUUAGGUUGGCCAAUGCGUGCAGAUGCUGAUUUCUUUCUCCUGACUGCUGAACAAUUCCGAAAAGAUAGAAAUGGGGAGAAUAAACCAGCUUUUAGAGAUCGAUGGGUGGGGAAAGUUAAUUUUGUUGAGAUACGUACAUUCUGGCAUGUCUUUAGAAGCUUUGAUCGAAUGUGGAGUUUUUUUAUUCUGUGGUUACAGGCUAUGAUUAUUGUUGCUUGGAAUGGUACGGGGCAGCUAAGCUCUGUCUUUACUGGUGAUAUAUUCAAGAAAGUAUUGAGUGUCUUCAUAACGGCUGCAAUAUUAAAGCUUGGGCAAGCCGUCCUUGAUGUAAUCCUUAGUUGGAAAGCACGGCAGAGCAUGUCAUUCCAUGUCAAGUUGAGAUAUAUUCUGAAGGUUAUUUCAGCUGCUGCAUGGGUGGUAGUCCUACCAGUUACUU
rnacentral:misc_RNA from 1 species